AUUAUAUCAGUUAUGGUUUUUAUGAUAUACUCGAUCUAUGGAUAACUGUAGUAAUUCUAGAGCUAAUACAUUUCAUAAACUCUUAGGAGUGCAAUUAUUAGAACUGCUAUUCAAAUUGAUGAUUCAUAAUAAUUCCUUGAAUCGUGCCAUUGUACGAUGGAUUUUUCAAGUUUCUGGCCUAUCAGCUGGGAUGUUAGUGUAUUGUACUAACAUGGUUUACACGGGUAACGGAGGAUUAGGGUCUGAUUCCGGAGAGGGAGCCUGAGAAACGGCUACCACUUCUAAGGAAGGCAGCAGGCGCGUAAAUUACCCAAUCCCGACAUGGGGAGGUAGUGACAAGGAAUAACAAUACUGCACUUUUACAAGUCCGGUAAUUGGAAUGAGUACAAUAUAAAAUUUUUAACGAGUAUCAAUUGGAGGGCAAGUCUGGCGCCAGCAGCCGCGGUAACACCAGCUCCAGGAGCAUAUAUUAACGCUGUUGCGGUUAAAAGGCUCGUAGUCAAGUGUGUGACGGGGGAUUUGUACCUCAGGGGCUAGACUCUUGUGCGAUCAUAUCACUCUGCAUCUUUCCGAAUAUUGUUGCUGCUCUUGAUUGAGUCGGCGGUGUAUAUCAGAUCAUUUACUGUGAGUAAAUCAGAGUGUUCAAGGCAGGUUUUGCUUGAAUGUUUUAGCAUGGAAUAAUAAGAUAUGACUUGUCCCAGUUAGGCUAGGUUGACGGGUAAUGACUGAAAGAGGUAGUUGGGGGUGCUAGUACUUAGCGGUCAGCGGUGAAAUGCAAAGACCCGCUAAUGACUAUCCACUGCGAAAGCAUUCACCAAGGAUAUUUUCUUUGAUCAAGAACGAAAGUUGAGGGAUCGAAAACGAUCAGAUACCGUUGUAGUCUCAACUGUAAACGAUGCCAACUAGAUUUUGGUGGAGAAUGAAACAGCUCCUUCAGCAUCUUACGAGAAAUCAAAGUUUCUGGGUUCCGGGGGGAGUAUGGUCGCAAGGCUGAAACUUAAAGGAAUUGACGGAAGGGCACCACCAGGGGUGGAGCUUGCGGCUUAAUUUGACCCAACACGGGAAAACUUACCAGGUCCGGACAUAGUAAGGAUUGACAGAUUAAAGAUCUUUCUUGAUUCUAUGGGUGGUGGUGCAUGGCCGUUCUUAGUUGGUGGAGUGAUUUGUCUGGUUAAUUCCGUUAACGAACGAGACCUCUUCUUACUAGUUAGGAGGUUCUUAUCCGUAAGUAUCAUCUUCUUAGAGGAACUACUGGUUCUUAGCCAGGGGAAGUUAGAGGCAAUAACAGGUCUGUGAUGCCCUUAGAUGUUCUGGGCCGCACGCGAGCUACAUGAGGUUAUGCACUGCGAAUUCUGCGUUUAUCUUUCGUGGGGAAUCGCUAAAGACAUCUGUGGUUGGGCUUGAUGGUUGUAACUAAUCACCACAAACAAGGAAUCCCUAGUAUUCAUGAGUCAAUAACUUGUGGAGAAUAUGUCCCUGCCCUUUGUACACACCGCCCGUCGCUUCUACCGAUUGAGCGCUCCGGUAAGCAUUUUCGAGCGGAUGAGUUUUC
rnacentral:rRNA from 1 species